rnacentral:rRNA from 1 species
AGCGAACGCUGGCGGCAGGCCUAACACAUGCAAGUCGAACGGACCCUUCGGGGUUAGUGGCGGACGGGUGAGUAACACGUGGGAACGUGCCUUUAGGUUCGGAAUAGCUCCUGGAAACGGGUGGUAAUGCCGAAUGUGCCCUUCGGGGGAAAGAUUUAUCGCCUUUAGAGCGGCCCGCGUCUGAUUAGCUAGUUGGUGAGGUAAUGGCUCACCAAGGCGACGAUCAGUAGCUGGUCUGAGAGGAUGACCAGCCACACUGGGACUGGGACACGGCCCAGACUCCUACGGGAGGCAGCAGUGGGGAAUCUUGCGCAAUGGGCGAAAGCCUGACGCAGCCAUGCCGCGUGAAUGAUGAAGGUCUUAGGAUUGUAAAAUUCUUUCACCGGGGACGAUAAUGACGGUACCCGGAGAAGAAGCCCCGGCUUACUUCGUGCCAGCCGCCGCAGUAA